CCCAUAUUAUAUGCCUGAUGCAACUCGAUUGUGAACUGAGGUUCUUAUGAAUAUGCGAUCUGAAUGUAUUUUUUUUAAUUUUAGGGAAACCCUCAUUCUUUCAGCUUUAAUCUUAUUUGACCAAUUAAUACUUUGUCACUGAUUAAUUAGGUAAUAGAUUACAGUUUGUGGAAUUUUGUAAUGAUGAAUUUGAUUUCUUUCAAAAGGCAGGGUGGUGUUUCACACGGUUAGGGUUGUGAAAUGGAUGUUGCAGCUCAUGUUAGAAAAAAAAAAACAUAUUAAAGUUCAUUUUUUAGGAUUUUUGGUUCUAUGUUAGUUUAAGCAAGGCGAUUUAAAUUCAUUGAGAAGCUUCUAAAGGCUAGAGCUAAUGUUGUUUUAAUGACAAAGGAGAUUGAUGAUAUUGGCAUUCAAGACUCAUCAAUUCGCUGACCUGAUUAAUGAAGGGUACCGUGCAACUUAUAAUGGUGUCAAGACGGUUGAUGCAAUGAAGAAGUUGUCCUCCGUUAAGAGUGAUCGGUAUGCUUUUCGAUCAGGUGAUUCGUUGUCUGAAUCAAAAUAGAUUGGAGAAAAUCAGGUGCUGUAACAGAAGUCAAAGAUGAAGGAAGUUGUGGUGGUUACACUAUUGAUUAAUAUGGUAAUCUCAAUAGAAUAACUUGCAGUAGUGAAUAAUUUUCUGUUACAGAAUCAGGUGCUGUAACAGAAGUCAAUAAUUUUCUCUUUGUUAUUUGCUACUUGAUUAAUAUGAGCACUCUAUUUCCGAUUAUGAUGUGUUACAUGUUCAAUCGCUAAAGAUUACAUUGAACUAAUUUGUCUAAUUGUUCAAUUUUGAUAAUUGUUUUUCGAAUGUUUUUAUACUAUUUUCGGACGCUUUGUAGGGGGAAUUAAGUUACUAAGAUCUAUCAUUUGAAUCCUGGUUCUAUCUUUUUGUCGAAGGGCUGAAAAAGAUUGAUAAAAAAAGACACAGUUAUUCACUUCCAGCACUCUGUUGAUUCUUAAAUUUAGGUAUUCAGUUAAUCUAAUCGUUAAUCGUCUGAAAUUUUUUUGUGUUGGUUGAUAUCAUAGAUCUAGGGUUUGUUCUUAAUAAAUAUAUUAUAGUAAAGAAGUUCAAUUUGGAUAAGGUUUGUUCUGUUUGUCAAUUAAAAUGAUUAUAUGUUUAAUUUUCUAACCUAAUGCCACUCAAUUUUAAUCAGGCUCGCAAUUUGCUGGUUUGGAAUAUAUAAUCGCUUAUUUGAAUUGUUAUCUCAGUUGCUGCCACACUCCAUUGAGUAGUGCUCUACAUUUGUUAUUUAUUGUUUCUUGAAAUUAACCUGAUUUAUAGUCGAUUAACUAGAUUUGGGAUGUUAAACAUUUGAUAGUGAUCCCUAAAGUUUGCCCCCUAAGUGUUGAUUAAAUGUCUGUUUAGAGGAAUGAGAGUUCAAUCGAGUUGAGUUAAUGAUAAUCACUUCUGCACAAAAAGUGAAAACAUAUGCUGCUAUACCCUGUCAAUUGAUCAUAACUGCUUUUGUCAUCCUGGUUUGUCUAUUUUUCAUUUCUUCUAAGUGUUUACGAGUAAAUAGAAUUAGUUCUGUUCUAGCUUCGUAUUUAAUUAUAUAUAUGAUGGUUCCUCCUUUGUUGUACAUGUAUGUCUUAAGGAAAGAUUCAAAAAGCUUCUGUCAUGACAAGUUUAAGUGUUGGCCGGUCAUCAACCAUCUAGAGACCAAAAUCCAGCUUGACGGAUACGUUUUUUUAGAGUUGCCCAAAUCAACCCACGAGGUAAGGAAAACUCACCCAAAUUGACCCCCUUCUUAAAGGUUGGGUCAGUUUUGCAAGACAUUAUAUUAAUUGAGAACAUUUUAAGUUAUAUGCUAAGCUAUUUGUAUAAUAUAAUCUAUUAUUCAUGGUUUAAGUUUUUUUAUUUAAAGUUUCGGGAACAUUAUUUUCUUCAGCAAUCUAGCGAGACGCAAUACACGGGUUUGCUUAAUACACAAAUAUGCAACAUCGCGCUGUCACAAAUACCAGAAUCAUGGUUUACCAAACGUUGUCUUGCUGGUAAUGUGGCUGCCAGUUCCUUGGCUAUGGUAGUAUGCAGGGUCGGUAAGGUCUUAAAAAAUAAAAAUCCUUUUAUUCUAAUGUUGAUAGCUGGUGGUUUUCUGCGACUUCUUCUAUCAUUUGUAAUAUAAUCUACAUGACCCGUUUGACUGAUACACCUUUUUUAGAGUUGUCCAAAUCAACCCACAAGGUAAGGAAAACUCACCCAAAUUAACCCGCUUCUUACAGGUUGGGUCAGUUUUGGGAUACAUUAUAUUAAUCGAGAACAUUCUAAGCUAUUUGUAAGAUCCCAAAGCACAUGAUGUUGCUAUUUAUUUUUUUAAUCAAUAGUACAGGGAUCCACUAUUCAAUGAUCUUACUAUUCGCAUGUUUAUAAAUAGAUUUAUAAAUUUUGUGAAACAAUUUGUAUCGGUAUAUUAUUGAUGUUUGAUUUCCAUCCACAGGCACAGGAACAAAAAAAAUUGUUCUUCUUCAACAAGCAUAUGCGUGGCAUUAAUUUUGAAGCUUGGAGUAAAAGUCACUUUGAUUUUUCCUUUGAUAUACGUCUUUUUUCAAGUUGAAUAUUAUAAAAAUGUCUGGGUACAACUAUGUGAACCGAAGAUUUGGCUGAAGAGUAGACGAUAUUUGAUGUUAUUAUUGCGUUAGAGGCAUGAAAUUCCUGCAGCAGGUGCACUUGGUAUGGGUGACCAAUGAUCUGCUCAAAUUCCAAAUGCUCAGUGGGCUGGUGACAUGGCACCACCGUUGCUCAAGGUGCAAGUGGUUAAGGUUAGACUCAACGAGAUGAGAAGACAUAGAUGUGGCAGAAUAUAGAUGAGAAACGAUUUUGGGAACCGGUGGGCCAGGCCACACUAUACUAUGGAGGGCAUAUUUAUGAUGGCUAUGAGUACGCGAUGACGCCACUCAAUGACCC